UACGGAGGGUCCAAGCGUUAUCCGGAACUCUGAUUGGAUUGAAGGUCCGUAGGCGGGCAAUUAAGUCAGAGGUGAAAUCCCACAGCUCAACUGUGGAACUGCCUUUGAUACUGGUUGUCUUGAGUUAUAUUGAAGUGAGUAGAAUAUGUAGUGUAGCGGUGAAAUGCUUAGAUAUUACAUAGAAUACCGAUUGCGAAGGCAGCUCACUAAGUAUACACUGACGCUGAUGGACGAAAGCGUGGGGAGCGAA
rnacentral:rRNA from 1 species